rnacentral:tRNA from 1 species
GAGGGUACAGCUCAGUGGUAGAGCUCAUGCUUAGCAUGCUUGGGGUCCUGGGUUCAAUCCCCAGUAUCUCCA